rnacentral:rRNA from 1 species
AGAGUUUGAUCCUGGCUCAGGACGAACGCUGGCGGCGCACCUAAGACAUGCAAGUCGAACGGUCUCUUUCUUCGGGAGGGGAUAGUGGCGGACGGGUGAGUAACACAUAAGGGACCUGCCCUGGCGUGGGGGAUAGCCUGGGGAAACCGAGGGUAAGCCCGCAUACGCUCCCUGGCAUAGCGGCCGGGGAGGAAAUCCUUCUCAUUGAGGAGGAGCGCGAGGAGGGCCUUGUGGCGGAUUAGCUAGUUGGGGGGGUAGUGGCCCACCAAGGCGACGAUCCGUCGCUGGUCUGAGAGGAUGACCAGCCACACCGGGACUGAGACACGGCCCGGACUCCUACGGGAGGCAGCAGUUAGGGAAUUUUCCCAAUGGGCGCAAGCCUGAGGGAGUGACGCCGCGUGCGGGAGGAAGGCCUUCGGGUCGUAAACCGCCUUUCGGGGGGACGAGAUGGACGGUACCCCCGGAAGAAGCCCCGGCUAACUACGUGCCAGCAGCCGCGGUAAUACGUAGGGGGCGAGCGUUGUCCGGAUUUAUUGGGCGUAAAGAGCGCGUAGGCGGCGCGGAGCAUCCGGCGUGAAAUCUCCCCGCUCAACGGGGAGGGGUCGGCGGAGAUGGCCGUGCUAGAGGACGGUAGAGGCAGCGGGAAGUCCCGAAGUAGUGGUGAAAUGCGUAGAGAUCGGGAGGAACACCAGAGGCGAAGGCGCGCUGCUGGGCCGGACCUGACGCUGAGGCGCGACAGCCAGGGGAGCGAACGGAAUUAGAUACUCCGGUAGUCC